AUCUUCCGCAAAGGGCGAAAGCCUGACGGAGCAACGCCGCGUGAGUGAUGAAGGCUUUCGGCUCGUAAAACUCGGUUAUUAGGGAAGAACAAAUGUGUAAGUAACUGUGCACAUCUUGACGGUACCUAAUCAGAAAGCCACGGCUCACUACGUGCCAGCAGCCGCGCGAAUACGUAGGUGGCAAGCGUUACCCGGAAUGAUUGGGCGUAAAGCGCGCGUAGGCGGUUUCUUAAGUCUGAUGUGAAAGCCCACGGCUCAACCGUGGAGGGUCAUUGGAAACUGGGAAACUUGAGUGCAGAAGAGGAAAGUGGAAUUCCAUGUGUAGCGGUGAAAUGCGCAGAGAUAUGGAGGAACACCAGUGGCGAAGGCGACUUUCUGGUCUGUAACUGACGCUGAUGUGCGAAAGCGUGGGGAUCAAACA
rnacentral:rRNA from 1 species